GGGGCUUCCAAUGCCGUAGCCAAGGAGACGACGUAGCAGACAACCGACAGUCGGGCCGGUCCUUAUCAACAAAAUUCCUUGUUUUGUAUUUAAAUUAUCCACACUGGACAUUUCCCACUAUAUAAUUUCAAAGUUAUAACAUCAGGGACAACCCCUUGAUAAGCGUUAAGCAGGAGGUGGAGUUUAGCAGUGACCGUAGAUCUGCUUUAGUUGCAAACACCAUUGGCUUUCAUUACGACUACUCGCCAUUCAUGAAGACAGAACCAUCGCUUCGGAUUCGAGGUGAUAGUGAUACACCAGGAUCCGAAAUAGGUGAGGGAGUGAUUGCCAUGACUACGACAGGAGCUCAGUAUGCUUUGGCAGCAUCCGCUGGGGCAGGUAAUGGUGGAGGUGCCUCUACAGCAGUGGGGGUGGAUACCAAACCAAACAUUGUCACUUUAACUGCAACUUCCACGGGCAAUAGUACUACAUGCCAAGCUCAGCCUACACGAGGUCAACAAGUCAUUACUGUUGUAACAAGUCCUGAUCCAUCAAGUCCCAACAGUCUUCAACCCAUUCAGCUACUAGUCCAGGAUACACUUGAUUCCACAGCAGAUUCUUCAAACGGUUCUUCGAGUACACCAGCUCACGUAACAGCCCAAGUAGUGGUUAAUACUGCUCAUGCUGGACAGCAUACUCUUGUAGAUCCUGACGUCACUUCCACGUCUGCUGGUACAAUUGUUAGUGGUUCACCGCAUUACAUAACUGUUACAGUGGCUGGUGCUCCUGAAGCAGUGGGGUCCGAUUCAGUUUCACAUCCAACUUAUGUUCAAUAUGUUGAAGAAGAUGGAUCCGCGUAUAUUCCGACGAAUGGGCAGAUGACAUAUCCUGUGUAUGCUGUUGGCGAGGCAGGUACAAUGUAUACACCAUCUUCCAGUCAGUAUUUCACAUCCGCUACGACACCAGUAACUUACGCACAGGUUCAGGGUUCAAACACAGGACAGUUAUUAUCACAAGGAAAUGGAGCUUAUCUUAUACAACAGAGCGUUGUUGAUGGCGAUGCAGCGACUCAUGCACUUAUUUCAGCUGCAGCAGCUCGUGCCAGCCCACAAACCGACAGUGCGGAGGCAGUGGUUAGCGGUGGUGGAGGGGCAUACUUGAUCAGCGGCAAUACAGGUAGCACUACAGUCAGCGUGGAAGAAGCUGCCGCCGCCGCGAAUAUGACACAUGCUACUAGAGUCUCCCAGGCCACCGUAAGCCAUAUCGACUCCCCGUUUGUACAAUGGUUAUUAGAAAAUUAUGAGACUUCAGAUGGAGUAUCUCUUCCAAGAUCAACACUUUACAAUCAUUAUCUUCGCCAUUGCUCGGAUAAUAAAUUAGAUCCUGUUAAUGCAGCGAGCUUUGGAAAAUUAAUUCGUUCAGUAUUUUUAGGUUUAAGAACUCGACGUUUAGGAACUCGAGGAAACUCAAAGUACCAUUAUUAUGGUAUUCGUGUAAAGCCUAACUCACCAUUGAUUUUAUUAAAUGAAGAUGGAACUUCACGACAACAAACAACUUCAAAUUCUCAGGCCAAGAGAUUUAAGUUUGUUAAUCAGAAACAAGAUCCAGCAUAUGAUGCUAAUACGCAUUCUAAUACGAAUAUGUCGUCUCAUAAUUCACCGCCUCAGUAUCAACAAUAUCUUGGAGAAGGGGGCAAUGCAAUUCCAGAAUUUCCAGAAAUUAUCGUCGGACACGGAUCGUCUUUACCGGAAGAUUGCACUUUAGAAGAUAUCGAUACAUUCCGCAGUAUUUAUAGAGAGCACUGUGAGGCCUUUCUAGACGCUGUUUUGAAUUUUGAGUUUGCUACAAUUGAAAGUUUAUGGAGGGAAUUCUGGCGGAGUCAAGAUAAUAACAAUGGCGAUGAAUGCGAAGAAGAAAAAUAUUUGUCAAAGACUAAACUCUACCAGAUGUGCAAAUGUUCCGAAGUGCAAGAUUUCAUCAGACAAGUGGAUUACAACUUUUAUCAAAACUUAGUUGAAGUUCUCAUGCCUGAUGUUUUACGACCUAUUCCUAGUUCACUGACACAAUCUAUAAGAAACUUUGCCAAAGGUCUUGAAUCGUGGUUGACGUCAGCAAUGAAUGAUUGUCCUCAAGAGAUGAUGCACAUAAAGUUGACAGCAGUAUCUGCAUUUGCACAAACAUUGAGGCGAUACACUUCUCUGAAUCACUUAGCUCAAGCUGCGCGAGCUGUACUUCAAAAUACUAGUCAAAUUAAUCAGAUGUUAACAGAUUUAAAUCGAGUAGAUUUUCACAAUGUUCAAGAGCAGGCAUCAUGGGUUUGUCAGUGUGACUAUACAGUUGUUCAACGUUUAGAAACCGAUUUUAAAGUAACACUUCAGCAACAAAAUUCUUUGGAACAAUGGGCAGUAUGGCUGAAAGGAGUGGUAACUCAAGUUCUUAAACCUUACGAGGGUAAACCAACUUUCGCUAAAGCUGCACGUCAGUUUCUUCUUAAGUGGUCAUUUUACAGUUCAAUGGUUAUACGAGAUCUCACAUUAAGAAGUGCUGCAAGUUUCGGUUCUUUUCAUCUAAUUCGCUUGCUGUAUGAUGAGUACAUGUUUUUCUUAAUUGAACAUCAGGUUGCUGUAGCUACAGGAACAACUCCCAUUGCAGUAAUGGGCGAUAAAAACCAAAGUCCACCUGUUUUCUAUACUUUUGGAACAACUACAAAUGGAGGUACUUUUAUUCAUAAUUAAAUAAAUUUAACCCUCUACUUAUACAAGUGAACGUUAUUGUCAAAAAAAUGUGAAAUCCAAUGCGUAGAUUCAAAUCCAACCAAACGUAUUAAAAUGAGCUAACUGCACACUUUGCACUCUGGAAUAGUAGGAAGUUGAUAGAAGUGAAGGAGCUCACAAAAAUCGAACAGGCCUAUUAUACUUAUACAUACAUAUACUAGUCUAGUAAGUUAAUAUUUUAUAUAUAAAAAGUGGAUAAUUUAUUGUGACUCUAUGAGGGUUAACACAUAAUAAUAGCCUACUUAAAAUAGGCUUUUUUCGGAAAAGUUUAAAAUAAGAAUUACAAAUUCUUUUAUUUUAACAAUCAAAUGUUAUAUAUGAGGAAAAAUAAUUUUGCAAUAGAUUCAAACCAAAUUGUUCAUUAGUAUACUAUUUCAAAUGAAACAAUCUUAAUGUAUAUACACGGGACCAUGAACUCAUCAUGUCCAAUACAUACCUACCUUAAUAUAAGCAUAAUAUUAUUUAUCUUAUCAAUUUUAAGUAUUAACAUUUUUCUUCUCAAAUUACGUUUUUAUUUAACGUUUAAUCAAUUGAUGUUUUUACUUUUAUAAUAAACAUGAGUUCUCAUUGUAAAAAGUAUUGUUUAAAAUGUGACUAUUUUAGUGGUUACUAAAGUGAUUUAAAAAAUAAAAAAAAAUACUGAUGUGAAUUUUCACGUAAUAUAAAAGUGUACUUGUUUUGAAGAGGACGUAAUUAUCUGAGCUUAUUUUUGUAUGGGCAAAGUGAAACAAAAAUAUGCAGAAAGAUAUAUAGAUUUUUUUUAUAAAUUAUCUAUUAUUUAAAAUUUAAUAAUAAAUCACAUGUUUUAUUAGAAAAGUGAAUAACUAAUUCAUAAAAUGCAAAAAUUUAUAUUUCAAAAUUUCACCUAUUUUAAUGAACAUUUUAAUUUACAAAAUUCCAUUUCACUAAGCUUAGUUUAAUAACUAGAAGUUCCGGCAACCAAAUUUACACUUAUUAUUUAAGUCCAAUGAAAUUUUCGUUUAACGAAAAUUUUCAACAUUUUACAUUAAAUAGUAUUUUUUGGAAGAAAUUAAUAAAGAAUUAAAUUUUGGUCCUAUAUAAAUUCUAUUAAAAAAUAAUUCUCUAAACAUUAAUUAUUUGUGAAUUUUUUGCGCCUUGUUUUUCUUAUACAUUUCUGAAUAAUUAGGUAUUUUUAAUGUAUUUGCUAUUAACUUCACUUUAUAAAAUAUAAUAAAUUUAUUGAUUUUCUAGGUAUUUACUUAAAUAAAUUUUUUAAAAAAUUAUUACAAUUACUCAUUAAGUUAUUUUUUUUCCUUAAAAUUAUACAUUUCUUAGUGAAGUUAAUGGUACAUAGGAAUUCCUAAAUAUUCUACAUCUGUUUUAGUAAAUUUUAUUUAAGAUUUUAAUGGGAGACAACAUUCUGAUCUAUAUGAAGUAUUUAUUUUAAAUUGUUAAAAAAAACUAGAAUGUUUUUAAUGUUAAUUUUUCGCUAGGAAUUCAAUUAUCAAAAAGUGAAAAGAUGUUCAAAACUGAUGGCUGAAACAAUAUUGCAAACAAACCAAUUUGUAGAAAUCAGAUUUCUAAAAAUGAAAUCGUUCGUUCUCAAAGUAAAUAUUUUUUAAAUUUAAGCAACCAAAUUUUUGGAAAAAUAUACAAAAAAAGAAGGUUUCAUAUGACAAUUUAGAAGAGGUCCUUCAUAUAUCUGAAAAUGACAUCAAAGUCUUCCCUUAACCACAUAUUUUCAUCUAGGAAAUAAUUGUACAUGAAUUUAUGUAACUUAAAUUAUACUUUACAUUAUUUGAUUUUUAUUGUGUAAAAAAUAUUACAAUUUGUAAUGCUUAGUCUAAGUUUACAUAGAAAAUAACUAUAUUUCAAAUAUCGAUCAUGUAGGAUUUAGUGGUUAUUUAUUAGACUAAUUUCCGAUUUCGUUUAAAACAAUAUUAUUUACGAUUCAGUUGAACCCUGAUAAAUCCAAAUUUCUUUUUUGUAAAAGAAAAUGCUUCUUAAAUUUUUUUUUAUUUUCUAUAUUAUUAAACGUUUCAUAUGUCAAAAUGUAUAAUUUGAUUUAUCCGGGUUCUACUGUUAAGCGAUUUAAUUAAAUGAUAAUAAUUAUAUUUUAUUAUAAAAAAUUAACAGCGAACCACAAUGAAAAUGUAUCCGCGUUUUAUUUUAAAAUUUAGUGACUUAAAAGUAUUUAUAUAUACUUAAAUUGAUUCUAUUUAUUGAAUAAUUAAACUUUUUAUAAUUAACCAAAGACGUAUUUUAUAAGAACCUCUUAUGAUUCGGUAUUUAAGAAUGAAUCAAUGACUGCACAAACAACGCACCAAGAAAUAAUUCGUAGUAUGCAUUUUAUUUUUAGAACAAAUAUAGAAAAAAAUAAACUGCAUAAAGUUACAAUUCCUUAGAUUGCGAAUUUAGUUAGAAAAAAAAUUGUUCAGUAAUAAUUGGUGUAAAUGUUUUUCAAGGUAAUUUAUACAUAAUUGUUUAAUCCUCACAUUAACUUGUGCAACUGAUAAUAAAUAAGAUUCCAGUUCUAUACAGCAUAGUAUCCCAAAUUUGACCUGAACAAAAAAAAAUGCUCUUUAUGAUUCCGUUGUGAGUAAAUUUAUUUCGCAAGUUUAUGAACUUCUAUAUACCGUGAAACUCGAUUUACUUAAAUAAAUAUCAAAAUAAAAAUCAGACUUUUGUACCGUACUUUAAAUGCAUAUAAAUUUUUUGACAAAAUAAUAUUAAUUGCAAACUAUUACCAUAUUAACCGUUGCUAUAGCAAUUAUUUCUUUGCCUUGGCAACGAUUGUCAUGGUAACAUAUCAUAUACUCACCAUUGCUAUGACAACCGCUAUCAUAGCAACAGCUACCAUAUAGUAACGAAUAAUAAAAUAAAAUUUUGUUUGUAAGAAAAACGCUUUUGAAUAUAAAAUAAAAAUACCUAAUAUUUAAACGUUAUUCAAGUAAUAAAAAAAAAAUAAUUUAGAUGGAAAAUAUAAUUUCAAUCUCAAUUUUGAUAACGUAUUUUUAAUUUAUGCAAUAAGACGUUUACUGAAUGUAUAAAUGUGUCUAGAAACCAGUCAAACACUGUAGAUACUACAUAUGUUAAGAAACAGGGAUUGAAUAUUAAAUAUGCGUGCAAAAGAUUAAUAAAAAUGGUCGAUUGCACUUAAAUAGAGGGAAAUCAUGUUUCCCUAACUGUAAUGAGCUUAUAAGUGUAAAAAAAAUUAUUAAAACCUAAGUGUACCUAAGCGUAAGAACAUUAUAUAUAUAUAUAAUUCAACUAGAUCUUUAAUUUCAAGCAAAGAAGAAUUCAAAUCUCGAGGGAUACAAGAAACAGACAUGAAUAAAGUAUAAAUUAAUGUCAUGCUUAAUAUUAUCUGAGUUUGUAUAAGGAUAUUACUUUAAAUCUAAAAUUUAAUUAAUAUAGAUUGCUGAAAAAAUUAAGCCCGUCCAUUUCAUCACUACAACAUAAUAUGUAUAAAACAUUUUUAAGAAAGGAUAAUUUUCUUAUUACUGCUUUUAUUUUAAAAUGAAAGAUUUUAGUUUUAUUAUUCUUCAGCUUGGAAAUGACAAUUUACAUAUGUAUUGACGUAUAUUGAAACAUUUUUCAUUAAAACAUGUAUAUAUUUAUAGUGAGUGAAAUGCGAAUUUAUUAUAAAACUUUUUAAUUUAAAAUAAUUUCGUACUUUGCGGAAUAAUAAAAACAUUGAAUACGGCCUUAAAUAUUCCAUGUGUAAGAAAUGAAAAAAAAAAAAUGUUCUACGAAAGGCCUGAGAGAUUAUGAAAGAGAAAACGUUUUAUAUUGCUUAAAAAAAUAUACGUAUGGGUGAGAAAAAUAAUUUCUUUGAUACGUAUAGAAAAUAUUUUGAUACUUCCGAAUUUGCACAAACAGAUAACCAUUAAUUACCGUUUAAAUAAGAUUAUUUUUACUGAAUGUAGCUCAAAAAAAUAACAAUUGUGAAUUUUCUAUUUGUUAAAAAUGUCCAAUGACCAUAUAAGUGUGCAAAUCACAAAAAUUGACCGAAUAAUAAAUAUAUGUUUAAAAUUAAAA